UAAUAGGUAAAACUUGAUAUGCCAAGGCUG
rnacentral:piRNA from 1 species